rnacentral:rRNA from 1 species
AGCGCAGGCGGGAAGACAAGUUGGAAGUGAAAUCUAUGGGCUCAACCCAUAAACUGCUUUCAAAACUGUUUUUCUUGAGUAGUGCAGAGGUAGGCGGAAUUCCCGGUGUAGCGGUGGAAUGCGUAGAUAUCGGGAGGAACACCAGUGGCAAAGGCGGCCUACUGGGCACCAACUGACGCUGAGGCUCGAAAGUGUGGGUAGCAAACA